UACGUAGGGUGCAAGCGUUUGUCCGGAAUUAUUGGGCGUAAAGAGCUUGUAGGCGGUUUGUCGCGUCUGCUGUGAAAUUUCGGGGCUCAACCCCCGAACUUGCAGUGGGUACGGGCAGACUAGAGUGUGGUAGGGGAGACUGGAAUUCCUGGUGUAGCGGUGAAAUGCGCAGAUAUCAGGAGGAACACCAGUGGCGAAGGCGGCUCACUGGCCCGAUACUGACGCUGAGGCACGAAAGCGUGGGGAGCAAACAGG
rnacentral:rRNA from 1 species